GGCCUAUUGAUUAUAAUUUUAGGUCUGACCUGCCCAAUGAUUUUUAAAUGGCCGCGGUAUUUUAACCGUGCAAAGGUAGCAUAAUCAUUAGUUUUUUAAUUGAAAGCUGGAAUGAAAGGUUUGAUGAAAAAAUAUCUGUCUCUGUAAAAGUUUAUUAGAAUUUUAUUUUUAAGUUAAAAAGCUUAAAUGUGUAUGGAAGACGAGAAGACCCUAUAGAGUUUUAUAUUUUUGAGCUAAUAGAAAUUUAGGAUUUAUAAAUUAUUUUAGCAGAUAAAGUAUUUUGUUGGGGUGAUAGAAAAAUUUAAUAAACUUUUUUUAAUAUUUUUCAUAAAUUGAUGAAUAGCUGAUCCUUUUUUAAAGAUUAAAAGAUGAAAUUACCUUAGGGAUAACAGCGUAAUUUUUUUUAGAGUUCUUAUCGAAGAAAAAGAUUGCGACCUCGAUGUUGGAUUAAAAUUUAUUAUUGGUGAAGAGGCUAAAUAAUUAGGUCUGUUCGACCUUUAAAAUUUUACAUGAUCUGAGUUUAAACCGGUGUGAG
rnacentral:rRNA from 1 species